rnacentral:lncRNA from 1 species
AACAUAGAAGCUAAUUAAAGAGACUUAGGAUUAGCAUUGUGCAUGGAUUCCACGACCCAAGGAAAGAGGCCACUCCCAGUUAAGCUGGAGCAAAUGCAGAAUUUGAAAUUGAUUUAUUAUGGG